rnacentral:rRNA from 1 species
UACGAAGGGGGCUAGCGUUGUUCGGAAUUACUGGGCGUAAAGGGCGCGUAGGCGGUGUGUCAAGUCAGGCGUGAAAGCCCCGGGCUCAACCUGGGAACCGCGCUUGAGACUGGCACGCUCGAGUUCGGGAGAGGAUGGUGGAAUUCCCAGUGUAGAGGUGAAAUUCGUAGAUAUUGGGAAGAACACCGAUGGCGAAGGCAGCCAUCUGGACCGACACUGACGCCGAGGCGCGAAAGCGUGGGGAGCAAACAGG